rnacentral:misc_RNA from 1 species
GUGACAUUGGAGGAGUGAACGGUGACGGGGACAUGACAGAAACUGAGGAUGGAGAACCUGGUAUAAGGCCCAUUGCAGCAGCAAAAUCCAUAGCAUUGGCAGCGGAAGCAUUUGAUCGAGGUGACAGAACAGCAGAACCAGUAGACAUAUACAGUGGCCUGAGUUCCUCUUGCAUGUGGGCAAAGAAACAAACUCUUCUAUCACAGUUUGUACCAUCUUUGCAAAGCCGGGUUCGAU